GUGUGUGUGUGUGUGUGUGUGUGUGUGUGUGUGUGUGUGUGUGUGUGUGUGUGAAAAGCAAACAGAACAGCGCUGGUAGCUUCUGUGGGUGUUAACGGUGUGUACCUUGUCAAGCAUACUGUGAAUUAUUUUUACAAAAGGGAAAUACUUGUAUAGUGAAAGGAUUGCUUUAUUAAGCUGUUCACUUUUUAUAUAAAACUGUAAAUGUAUCGCAGACAAACUGGUAAAACUAGUAGCUAGCAGCAUUGGUGACUACUGUUAGUGCAUCUUAACACAUAAUGUAUGUUAAUGUUAUGCUGCUCUCAGAUAAGAAAAUAAAAUCUUGCAGUUCUGAUCGA